AGCUACAGGCCUAACACAUGCAAGUCGAGGGGAAACGGCAGCUUAGCUUGCUAAGCUGGACGUCGACCGGCGCACGGGUGAGUAACGCGUAUCCAACCUGCCCCACGGUGAGGGAUAACCCGCGGAAACGCGGCCUAAUACCUCAUGGUCUCCGAGCUUGACAUCAACCUUGGAGUAAAGAUUCAUUGCCGUGGGAUGGGGAUGCGUCUGAUUAGCUUGUUGGCGGGGCAACGGCCCACCAAGGCGACGAUCAGUAGGGGUUCUGAGAGGAAAGCCCCCCACAUUGGAACUGAGACACGGUCCAAACUCCUACGGGAGGCAGCAGUGAGGAAUAUUGGUCAAUGGGCGAGAGCCUGAACCAGCCAAGUAGCGUGCAGGAUGACGGCCCUAUGGGUUGUAAACUGCUUUUAUGCGGGGAUAAAGCGGGCGACGUGUCGCCCUUUGCAGGUACCGCAUGAAUAAGGACCGGCUAAUUCCGUGCCAGCAGCCGCGGUAAUACGGAAGGUCCGGGCGUUAUCCGGAUUUAUUGGGUUUAAAGGGAGCGCAGGCCGGGUAUUAAGCGUGUUGUGAAAUGUAGGCGCCCAACGUCUGCACCGCAGCGCGAACUGGUGCCCUUGAGUACGCACGACGUUGGCGGAAUUCGCCGUGUAGCGGUGAAAUGCUUAGAUAUGGCGAAGAACUCCGAUUGCGAAGGCAGCUGACGGGAGCGCUACUGACGCUCAUGCUCGAAAGCGCGGGUAUCGAACAGGAUUAGAUACCCUGGUAGUCCGCGCGGUAAACGAUGGAUGCCCGCUAUUUGCGCAUUAGCGCAAGUGGCCAAGUGAAAACGUUAAGCAUCCCACCUGGGGAGUACGCAGGCAACGGUGAAACUCAAAGGAAUUGACGGGGGCCCGCACAAGCGGAGGAACAUGUGGUUUAAUUCGAUGAUACGCGAGGAACCUUACCCGGGCUUGAAUUGCAGAGGAAAGAUCCAGAGAUGGUGAUGCCCUUCGGGGCCUCUGUGAAGGUGCUGCAUGGUUGUCGUCAGCUCGUGCCGUGAGGUGUCGGCUUAAGUGCCAUAACGAGCGCAACCCCUCUCCAUAGUUGCCAUCAGGUAGUGCUGGGCACUCAGUGGACACUGCCACCGUAAGGUGCGAGGAAGGUGGGGA
rnacentral:rRNA from 1 species